UACGUAGGGUGCAAGCGUUAAUCGGAAUUACUGGGCGUAAAGCGUGCGCAGGCGGUUAUGUAAGACAGAUGUGAAAUGCCCGGGCUUAACCUGGGAACUGCAUUUGUGACUGCAUGGCUAGAGUUUGGCAGAGGGGGGUAGAAUUCCACGUGUAGCAGUGAAAUGCGUAGAUAUGUGGAGGAACACCGAUGGCGAAGGCAGCCCCCUGGGCUAAGAUUGACGCUCAUGCACGAAAGCGUGGGGAGCAAACAGG
rnacentral:rRNA from 1 species